GGUGUAUGUCACAUUCAGAUCAGAGUUCGUAUGCUGAUACUAACAUGUCAUCUGGAUGUGUCAAUCUGAAGGACGCUGAGGUACGUGCGGGUUUGUUUGAUUGGUCUGUGGGAGUUCGUGAUGAAGUGCACUCGGCGACUUACCAGGUUUCAAAAGGGAUAGUGAAAACAAUAGUGGAAAAGUGGAAGCGAAUAAUAACAGCGACGAGUAGAAAUGCAACAUAUGCAAUAAUGUAAAAGUGCAUGGAAUUUGUUUUAGCGAGUGUAGGAUGGCAAAUGGUGUAAUUUCCUCCCAGAAUCCAUGGUAUGGUUUCCAGGCGAAGGACCACCAGCGGGAUUCUGGGCUCACAGCUGAGUGAGUUCCGGACAUCGCUCCGGACCAAAGCCGGUCCCUGGGCUCGCAGCUGCUGCGUGCUCGUUGUACACGGGGCUGGUCGCAUUUUGAUUGGUCUUUUCAAGUCCUGAUGGGGCCGGUUUACUGCACGUGUUUGGGUCCGGAUUGGCGGAUUGAGCUCCGCUCCUCGGAGAUGGCGGGCGAAAGGAAAUGGAACUGGCUGCCUUUGUCACUGACGGGAGCUGUGGCCACCAGUCUCCAGCUCAGCCGAGUGCCGAGGCGCUGCCUAACAUGGAAUAAGUCUGCUGAGUUUGGUGUGUGACACGUUCUGUACUUGCUGAUAAAACAGCACCCUUGCAGGUAGUAGAUCAGGGAGCCUUACUCAUUGUAGAGGCUGGUGACUCCCAUUCGGGCUGGACCCGACUGAGCGAUGGAGGACUGACUCUCCAAACCGAUGGGAGAUACAACACCGACCAGCUUUCUGCAACACGGAGAAGAUGAGGAUGAUAAAAGAAAGGGCUUUAAGGAGGAAGACUGAAGUAUUGGAGAUGAUAACAAAGGAGUGGGAAGGCAUGGUAAAAUGUAUACCAAGAUCUUAAAAAAAUUGUGAAAUGUGAGGAAAUACAUUUGGAAAGGCAAACAAGGCUAGUGAAUACAUGAUUAUGGGAAGAUACCUUUUAUACUUUAUGGAGAAGACAUGCAAAAGAAGGAUUUGUCUGAUAAAUUAGAUACUGAAUGCACAUUCAUGGUGCUUGAAGACCAGAAGUUAAAGAUACUCUGGACAAGCUAAGACGAGUUUUCUGAUCUUCCAAUUGCAGCAUGUCAGGAGUUAGUACAAGCCCAGGCCAGUGGCAAACCAACCUGAAAAUUUGGAAUCACGGAACAAGCUGAUUACAAUUUAAUGAUCUAAUGUUUGAAGUUAAAGAAACUCUGGCACAGGCCACAAACUGUGUGUCUUGUUUAAUUCAGCACGCACAAUAAUGAAAUGUAGGAGGACAGGAGUUUUAAAAAUAAAUAAUUUUAAAAGAAGAAGCAGUUUUUUUUAAAUCUGCACUAUGCCAAUAUUCUGAAUAUCUAUCAGUGAUGGCAGCUUUGCCUCACUUUCCAAGAAAUCCUCUGCUAUCUGUACACUCUCAUUUUCUACUAGAUCUAGUGGGCAUUGACACCAUCUCCCACACAUCAACAAAAACUUAAUUGUAUGUAACAAUUUAAACAAUUAACAUAAUUUGAAAGAGGAA